rnacentral:rRNA from 1 species
AGUGAACGCUGGCGGUAGGCCUAACACAUGCAAGUCGAACGGCAGCACAGUAAGAGCUUGCUCUUACGGGUGGCGAGUGGCGGACGGGUGAGGAAUACCUCGGAAUCUACUUUUUCGUGGGGGAUAACGUAGGGAAACUUACGCUAAUACCGCAUACGACCUACGGGUGAAAGCAGGGGAUCUUCGGACCUUGCGCGAUUGAAUGAGCCGAUGUCGGAUUAGCUAGUUGGCGGGGUAAAGGCCCACCAAGGCGACGAUCCGUAGCUGGUCUGAGAGGAUGAUCAGCCACACUGGAACUGAGACACGGUCCAGACUCCUACGGGAGGCAGCAGUGGGGAAUAUUGGACAAUGGGCGCAAGCCUGAUCCAGCCAUACCGCGUGUGUGAAGAAGGCCUUCGGGUUGUAAAGCCCUUUUGUUGGGAAAGAAAAGCAGCAAGUUAAUACCCCGCUGUUCUGACGGUACCCAAAGAAUAAGCACCGGCUAACUUCGUG